GAAUUUGAUAUAAAUAUUAAAUAUUUAUUUAAAAGUAUCAAUGUUUAAAAUUUAUAUUUUAUUGGGAGGAUAAUUAAAUUUUAUAAACUUAAAUUUUAAUAAAAUAUUAAUUGAUAGAAAAUUAAAAAUAAAGUUAUUUAGAGUUAAAAAAAUUAAUUACCUUAGGGAUAACAGCAUAAAAUUUUUAGAGAGAUCUUAUCAAUAAAAAAUAUUGU
rnacentral:rRNA from 1 species